rfam:Schistosoma mattheei strain Denwood, Zambia genome assembly, scaffold: SMTD_scaffold0012674
AUCCAGCUGAUGAGUCCCAAACAGGCAGAACGCGCGUCAAACUGGAU